CCUACGGGAGGCAGCAGUAGGGAAUCUUCCACAAUGGGCGCAAGCCUGAUGGAGCAACACCGCGUGAGUGAAGAAGGGUUUCGGCUCGUAAAGCUCUGUUGUCGGGGAAGAACGUGCGUGAGAGCAACUGUUCACGCACUGACGGUAUCCAACCAGAAAGUCACGGCUAACUACGUGCCGGCAGCCGCGGUAAUACGUAGGUGGCAAGCGUUAUCCGGAUUUAUUGGGCGUAAAGCGAGUGCAGGCGGUUGCGUAGGUCUGAUGUGAAAGCCUUGGGCUUAAACGACGAAGUGCAUGGGAAACCGGGCGACUUGAGUGCGGGAGAGGAAAGUGGAACUCCAUGUGUAGCGGUGGAAUGCGUAGAUAUAUGGAAGAACACCAGUGGCGAAGGCGGCUGUCUGGU
rnacentral:rRNA from 1 species